rnacentral:rRNA from 1 species
CCAGAGAUGGAUUGGUGCCUUCGGGAACUCUGAGACAGGUGCUGCAUGGCUGUCGUCAGCUCGUGUUGUGAAAUGUUGGUUAAGUCCCGCAACGAGCGCAACCUUUAUCCUUUGUUGCCAGCGGUUAGGCCGGGAACUCAAAGGAGACUGCCAGUGAUAAACUGGAGGAAGGUGGGGAUGACGUCAAGUCAUCAUGGCCCUUACGAGUAGGGCUACACACGUGCUACAAUGGCGCAUACAAAGAGGAGCGACCUCGCGAGAGCAAGCGGACCUCAUAAAGUGCGUCGUAGUCCGGAUUGGAGUCUGCAACUCGACUCCAUGAAGUCGGAAUCGCUAGUAAUCGUGGAUCAGAAUGCCACGGUGAAUACGUUCCCGGGCCUUGUACACACCGCCCGUCACACCAUGGGAGUGGGUUGCAAAAGAAGUAGGUAGCUUAACCUUCGGGAGGGCGCUUACCACUUUGUGAUUCAUGACUGGGGUGAAGUCGUAACAAGGUAAGCGUAGAUGA